CAGCUAUCUACAUUUAUCAGUCGGAUUGUAUUUUUAUCUCUGUCUAUAAUGUGGUUAAUUAGUUCCUUUGCUAUUGUAGUCAUUUUGAGGAUUUGAUGGAUUCUGUUGAUGAAGAGAUUUGGUAUUUAUCGUAAUUGACGUAGCUUAUAUUUUAGUGGUAGUGCUCAAAUUUUGGAAGUUGAUUUGAGAAUUAUACCAGGCAAUAGUUACAACUGUAGACAACGAUCAGUUACAGACCUUUAUUUGACUUCAGUUGAGAACUUGAUUGAGAGGAAUAUUUUAGCCUCGUGUGCUAGGCAGCAAUCAGUUUGUCCUUGUCAACACUAACUAGUUGUUCACUUACAUUUGCUCACGAGAUUCUGAAAAAUUAGCUUGCAGUUGGUAAUUUUGAUUCUGCGCAUUAAUUCAUAAUUGUUUAUUGUGUAAAGUUCAACAGCUACUGUGAAGUGGAUGUGGGAAAAUGGUGAUUCAAGACUUGAGUGUUGUCGUGUUGGUCAUAAAACUUGGCAAUUACUGGCUUCUUUUGUAAAACUAUCAGUUAAAGGCUAGCUGUUAAGAGAGUUAUCGACUUUGAUGAUAGAAGGCUCUUAUUUGCGAAGAAUCUUUAGGAGUUAAAGACUUUUAUUCUCUCUAAAUUCUCGGGAUAGGCUUCGUGGCCGUGAUUACACUACCUAUUCAUUUGAUUCCCGUUAACAUAAGUGCAUCAAGAUGGCUAAUUGACAUGGAUUGGAGAUGGUUGCAAGUGGGUGUAUUGGCUGACUGCAAUCAGUUGAAGAAGAAAAUGUAUGGGGUUUGUCAUCAACUAAAUUCAGAGAUUUUUGUACUCGGAUUCAAAUUAAGUUUUGUAUAGAAUUCAGCCUACAAAAAGGUGAAAAUAUUGGUUGUUGAGAAAUGGGAAAGGUGUUUAUGCUGUUUGGUUUGUAUGGGAGUUAUUAAAACAUGAAAGAAGAUGAUUAUGUUGUUAUGACUACAUAACCUGUCAUGCAGUUGAGAAAAUGUCUGCAUAACCUGUUGUGCAUCUACAAAUUUGUUAAGCAUUUUCGAAAUUGGUUGCAUAACACGUCCUGUUAUGCAUCUCCCAGUUAAUUGUCGAGCAUAUAUGAAUGUAAU